UGCAGAGGGUGCGAGCGUUGUUCGGAAUUACUGGGCGUGAAGCGCGUGUAGGCGGUUUAAUACGUCGAUCGUGAAAUCCCUAGGCUUAACCAAGGAACUGCGGUCGAAACUAUUAAACUAGAGUAUCGGCAGGGGUGCCGGAAUUCCCGGUGUAGAGGUGAAAUUCGUAGAUAUCGGGAGGAACACCUGUGGCGAAGGCGGCCACCUGGAAGAUUACUGGCGCUGAGACGCGAAAGCGUGGGGAGCAAACUGG
rnacentral:rRNA from 1 species